ACCUGCCCACUGAAAUAUUUUAAAUGGCCGCAGUAAUUUGACUGUGCAAAGGUAGCAUAAUCAUUAGUUUUUUAAUUAAAAGCUUGUAUGAAGGGUUGGACGAGAUAAAAUCUGUCUUUAUUUAAAUAAUAUUAGAAUUUAAUUUUUAAGUUAAAAAGCUUAAAUAUAUAUAAAAGACGAGAAGACCCUAUAGAUCUUUAUAUUAUUAUAAUUUAAUUUUAAUUAAGAAUAUUUAAUUUUUUAUUUUAUAUAAUAUUUUAUUGGGGUAAUAAAAAGAUUAAAUUAAUUCUUUUAAAGUUUUACAUUAAUUAUUGAGUUUAUGAUCCAUAUUUUUUGAUUAUAAGAUUAAGUUACCUUAGGGAUAACAGCGUAAUUUUUUUAGAGAGUUCAUAUCGAUAAAAAAGUUUGCGACCUCGAUGUUGGAUUAAAAAUUGUUUUAGGCGUAGAAGUUUAAAGAUUUGGUCUGUUCGACCAUUAAAUUUUU
rnacentral:rRNA from 1 species